rnacentral:piRNA from 1 species
UAGAUCAUGAGCCAAGCUUCCAGAAAUCUCU